rnacentral:lncRNA from 1 species
AAAUAUUUGCAAAGUGAAUCUUCUCAGAAACUUUGAAUCUUUUUCUGAUGCUAAAGAGUUCUACAACACGGAAAUCCAUCAUUUCAUUAUGAGUUUCUGUUCAUGGUACUGACCUAAGGGCCAAGAUACAAAGUCAAGUGAGAGACAGAGCAUAUCCUCAAGGAGCAGAUUGUCUAACGGGGAAGAGAGGCGGAGGUUGCAGUGAGCCGAGAUCACGCCAUUGCGCCCCAGCCUGCGUGACAGAGUGAGACUCCGCCUCCAAAAAAAGAAAAAAAAAUAAGUGACUUACAGAUUGCCAAAUCUGGCUUGAAACUCACCCAUGUUGUAUGCCACCACAGAGUUUGAAUAUGUACAAGGGCAUCUCCAGUCAUUGUACUUGGGAGGAGGAGAUGAAGGCACCAUUUCCCUCUUUAUCUGCAAUUGAGUAGUUACUGAGAGAGUUGUUUACAGAGCUCUUUAUUCAUUCAUUCAGAUAUUAUUCAUUGUUAAAAAUACAUAAUUUGAUAUGUAAAUUAUAUCUUAAUAAAAUUGUUUUUUAAAAGCCAUUUGUAGUAUACUUUAAUGUCUUUUCCCCUAGGCCAGCAUAGUUUGGCACAUAAAGCCUUCUUGACUGAGUUGACUGUGUGGCCUGUUUGGGUCUCUCUGCAGUGUUUACCAGCUCUUCUGGCAUACGUCCCAGAAUGACAAUCCUUUUUCCUUUCAGAUUAUGACACUGGAUGUGAACUCAAAUCCCCUUAACUCAGAAACUUACUGUUCAAACCUCCAGAAAAACGCUGGACAAAAUCCUCAUCAAUAAAAACAGAAUAAUUGAAUGUGAUGCUUGGAAAUGUUCCCAGCAAUGUCCUUAACCUUGGAAAAAAAAAUCCCUAGUCUAUAAUGUUUCUACUCACUUAUCCACGGAAAUAGAAUUGAAGGGUAAAUCAGAACAAGCAGAAGUCCUAUUAGUGUGGAGGUUCUGGAGAAGAGGUUGCCUGGUUACUUUUUUCAGCGGAGAAGUUAGAAAAGAACACCACAACAUGAGGGGGAACAUAGUCCUCCUUUCAAAAAGUUUAUCUCUAAAAGAUUAAAAACAAAAACAAAAACAAACCAAAGCGUAACAUCAUAACCUGGAGCAAUCAGGUUUAUUUAAAUAUAUAAAUAUGAUACAAAUGUCUAAAUAUGGAGCAGAUUUUUCUUGGUUAAAAAAACGAGGUUCUGGCUGGGCACGGUGGCUGACACCUGUAAUCCCAGCACUUUGGGAGGCCAAGGCAGGUGGAUUGCUUGAGCUCAGAAGUUUGAGAUCAGCCUG